rnacentral:RNase_P_RNA from 1 species
CCGGCGGGCUGUCCUAUCGCUCAAGAAAUUGGGAGGAAAGUCCGGGCAGGAAAGGGCAGUGCACUGUGGAAAGCACAGAUAGGCGAAGAGUUUAUGCAAGGGUAACAGAAAACUACCGCCGCAGGAGCCUGAUCUACUGGAUCAGGCGGGCACAAUCCAGAUGGCCAGUGCUGUAUUCUGGCAACAGAAAACAGCCGGUCAGAUGGAGCACACUGCGGUAAGGGUGAAAAUGUGGGGUAAGAGCCCACGGAUUAUGAUGGCGACAUUAUAGUGGUAUCCUACUGCAUCCUGCAAGGCCAUGUAUACCGGCAAUCAAGGGUUGCCCGUCCGUUGCCGGGGGGUAGGCUGCGUCAGAUAAAUGAUAGGAGCUUCUUAGGGUAUCCCUCCCGGGAUGCCAGUCUGAGGUACAGGACCCGGCUUAUAGGCCCGCCCAUAAA